CAGUAGCCACGGUAAUACGUAGGGUGCAAGCGUUAAUCGGAAUUACUGGGCGUAAAGCGUGCGCAGGCGGUUUGUUAAGACAGGUGUGAAAUCCCCGGGCUUAACCUGGGAACUGCGCUUGUGACUGCACAGCUAGAGUAUGGCAGAGGGGGGUGGAAUUCCACGUGUAGCAGUGAAAUGCGUAGAGAUGUGGAGGAACACCGAUGGCGAAAGCAGCCCCCUGGGCCAAUACUGACGCUCAUGCACGAAAGCGUGGGGAGCAAACAGGAUUAGAUACCCGCGUAGUCCCUGUCUCUUAUAC
rnacentral:rRNA from 1 species